UACAGAGGGUGCGAGCGUUAAUCGGAAUUACUGGGCGUAAAGCGUGCGUAGACGGUUAUUUAAGUCGGGUGUGAAAGCCCUGGGCUCAACCUGGGAAUUGCAUUCGAGACUGAAUAGCUAGGGUACGGUAGAGGGAAGCGGAAUUUCCGGUGUAGCGGUGAAAUGCGUAGAUAUCGGAAGGAACAUCAGUGGCGAAAGCGGCUUCCUGGACCAGUACCGACGUUCAGGCACGAAAGCGUGGGGAGCAAACAGG
rnacentral:rRNA from 1 species